rnacentral:lncRNA from 1 species
AUGCAUUUUGUGUAUUGUUUUAAAUAAUUAAUUUUUGGUUGAUGAUUUUCAAAUUUUUAAUUUAUGUUAUUUAUCCGAGAAGUAGAAGGUGUUUGUCUGUUGUGUUGAAAAAGUCAAAUUUGCUGUUUUAUUAGUCAAUCUAUUUUUCUUUUCCAUUUUUAUUAUUUUUAUUAUUAUCUACUUUUAUAAUUAUUAUUGAAUAUAGGAUAAAUAUUGGGCUUUUGUUUUACAUAUUAGGCGCAUCAAUCACUUGACAUUUCUUUUUUUUUUGAAAAAUAAUUUAAUUUAAUUUUAUAAUUAGUUUGUG